rnacentral:rRNA from 1 species
AUACGGAGGGUGCGAGCGUUAAUCGGAAUUACUGGGCGUAAAGCGCACGCAGGCGGUCUGUUAAGCUAGAUGUGAAAGCCCCGCGCUCAACGUGGGAGGGUCAUUUAGAACUGGCAGACUAGAGUCUUGGAGAGGGGAGUGGAAUUCCAGGUGUAGCGGUGAAAUGCGUAGAGAUCUGGAGGAACAUCAAUGGCGAAGGCAACUCCCUGGCCAAAGACUGACGCUCAUGUGCGAAGGUGUGGGUAGCGAACAGGAUUAGAUACCCUGGUAGUCUUAGCUGUAAACGAUGAGCACUUGAUUGGAGGGUCCUCCAUAGCCUUCCAGUCGUAGCGAAAGUGUUAAGUGCUCCGCCUGGGGAGUAUGGUCGCAAGGCUGAAACUCAAAGAAAUUGACGGGGCGUCACACAAGCGGUGGAGGAUGUGGCUUAAUUCGAGGCUACGCGAAGAACCUUAUCCUAGUCUUGACAUGUAUGGAUUAACCCUGUGAAAGCAGGGCCAC